rnacentral:rRNA from 1 species
UACGUAGGGUGCAAGCGUUAAUCGGAAUUACUGGGCGUAAAGCGUGCGCAGGCGGUUUUGUAAGUCUGUCGUGAAAUCCCCGGGCUCAACCUGGGAAUUGCGAUGGAGACUGCAAGGCUAGAAUCUGGCAGAGGGGGGUAGAAUUCCACGUGUAGCAGUGAAAUGCGUAGAGAUGUGGAGGAACACCGAUGGCGAAGGCAGCCCCCUGGGCUAACACUGACGCUGAUGCACGAAAGCGUGGGGAGCAAACAGG